rnacentral:rRNA from 1 species
AGAGUUUGAUCCUGGCUCAGAUUGAACGCUGGCGGCAUGGCUAAAACAUGCAAGUCGAACGAACCCGCAAGGGUGAGUGGCGAAAGGGUCAGUAACGCGAUCGAACGUACCCUGGGGUAGAGGAUAGGUCGGGGAAACCCGGCGUAAUACUCUAUGACCUCUCCGGAGCAAAGGUUUACCGCCCUGGGAGCGGCGAUCGUCCUAUCAGGUAGUUGGCGGGGUAACGGCCCACCAAGCCGAAGACGGGUAGCGGGUGUGAGAGCACGACCCGCGACAUCGGGACUGAGACACUGCCCGGACUCCUACGGGAGGCUGCAGUAACGAAUCUUCCGCAAUGGGCGAAAGCCUGACGGAGCAAUGCCGCGUGCGGGAUGAAGCGUCUACGACGUGUAAACCGCUGUCAGGGGGUAGGAACAAUGACCGCCCCCAAAGGAAGUGGCGACUAACUCUGUGCCAGCCGCCGCGGUAAUUC